GAACCACAACUGGAAGCUGGUUCCACAGGAGAGGAGCUUGGUAACUGAAGGCUCUGGCUCCUGUUCUACUUUUAGAGACUAUAGGAACCACAAGUAGCCCAGCAUUCAGAGAACGUAGUGUUCUAGAGGGGUAAUAGGGUACUAUGAGCUCUUUAAGAUAUGAAGGGGCCUGACCAUGAAGAGCUUUAUAGGUGAGGAGGAGGAUUUUAAAUUCUAUUCUACAUUUUACAGGGAGCCAGUGCAGAGAAGCUAGUACAGGAGAGAUGUUAUCUCUUUUUCUAGUUCCUGUCAGUACUCGUGCUGCAGCGUUCUGAAUUAAUUGGAGCGUUUUAAUGGACUUAUUGGGGCAACCUGAUAAUAAAGAGUUGCAGUAAUCCAGCCUUGAAGUAACAAAUGCAUGGAUUAGUUUUUCUGCAUCUGUAAUUUAUGUUGGCUACUGAUAGUUUAAACAUGCAGCUCCCUCAUUUAAUACAGUUUGUGGGCUUUUCUUUGUUGUGUUUUUCCCCACACCAUUUUAGUUGUUGACUCCAUUACUACACUAAGAGCAUAUGACAGGUUAAUAUCACACCCGUUCACCCGUUCUUCUUCGUCUUUCAGUUCCUGUCCUCAGAGACCGAUCAGGAGAAACCAGACUUGCAGUUUCAAGGCCUUUCAUCACAAUCGCUGAUGUCACACAGUUCGGGGUGCUGCUCAGGUGUGACGUGCAAGAUGCUAAAUUACUGCCAAAGCUCCAAUGGCAGGACAGUGACGGAAACAUCCUUCCUGCUGAGGAGACUCAAGCCUCAGAGAGAGGAGGCCGCUCUGACAUCACCCUCCAAACUACUGUGAGCAAGACCAAAACCAACCGCUUCCACUGCGUAGCCACACAGGAGGAGAUCGGCCAUGUGAUUGACCGUAACAUCACUGUGUCAGAGAAACUGUUUGAGGACAAAUGCAGCGCAGUGGACAUCACAGGAUGGUUAGGUGGAUUCUUUUUGGGAGUUUCAUCUCUUGCUGCAUCUCUUGUAGCUGUAAAACACAUAAAGAAACGCUGCAAAAAAGGUUCAGUGAUAUAACUUCAUCCACUGCUUGAUGGCUUUACCUUUGUUAACGUGUGUGUGUGUGUGUGUGUGUGUGUGUGUGUGUGUGUGUGUGUGUGUCUACAACAAUGUGACAACAUUACAUCACAUUGAUUUAGGUGAUGAUAUUAUCUAGUGAUUGGCAAAUAUUUGCCUUGUUGAUUGACGUCAGCAAAUUAGACAGCGUUCACCGAUAUCAGUGGCCAGUGUUUAUCUGUUGCAUUCAUUUAGCAGGAGUUGGUCCCACGUUAGUUGUGUAAGGCUUUAGUAAACCAAAGAAUAUUUUGUUACUACCUAUUCUUCAACCAAUCGAUUGGUCAAUAGGGGGGAAAUCUAGGUUAACUAAAUCUACCACAGUGCACUGAGUAGCUGCUGGGUGCUAAUCACAGAUACAGCCAUUUCUUUUUCACAAGUAUCUGUUACCUUCAGGACAUAUCAAGUAUGUUUACAGCAGCGACACACGCAUGUACACAUACCAGCGAGGAUCACGCAGCAAAGUGAGUUUUCGUGCAGCAACAAAGCUAACGCAGUGUGAAGCCAUGCAGCAGGUCAGAUCUGUACAUUUCACUGCAUCUUAAAAAAAUAAUUGCGACACAUGUUUCAAUGUUUGGAGCCAUUUUUAGGCAGAAAGUGAAUAUUACAAAAGUAGUUUGAAUUUCUUUUGUAUAAUAGGUCAUCCAUUAAUUCCUGAUUAUGGACACCUCGUAGGGCAUUAACCAGUUAUUUCACACCCUCAUUAGAACGCCCCAACGGGCAAAACAAGGCUUUCUUCUGCUGCCCAUAGCUAACUUAGCAGUAGUGAUUGUUGACACAGACCUAGUUUAUAAAUGCUCUACAACUUUUUUCACGGGGUACAUUAAUUAAUUAUUUGUUUUAUUCAUUUGCACAGACAGUUGUUUUGGCUCUCUACCGCUGUCUCUCCUCUGUGAGUUUCACGGUGCUGCUCAGACUGGAGGGGCCGACAGGGAGAGAGGGUUAAUUCAUUCCCACUCCUUGGCUUUAGCAGGUCCUUUAAUUCCACUGCUAAUGCUGUUAAUGCUGUCUCUGAGCUGGUAAAGUUUUUAUUUUUACUCUUCCAUAUUAUUUUCAAUAAUUAACUUCCUCACACAGCCUAUAUGGUAUUAUCGGGUCGUCAGUUCUCGUGAACUCCUCCAUUAUGCACAGGUGGAGUUCAUCAUUUUUACGCAGGUAAUUUACACAGAAAUCUAAAGUUAGGUAUUAGGUAGUGUUCGCUGAAUCUGACGUGGCACACUCGUAUGAGACCACCAUAUAACGACAAGAAAGAGAAAGUUAAGAUGAGAAUACACAAUGCAUAAUAAUAACAUUAAUAAUAUAUAAUAUAAUAUAUAUAUAUAUAUAUAUAUAUAUAUAUAUAUAUACAAGCCAUAACUUUGGUAACACCUGAGGAAGAAUCAUUACCAUCCCAUAAUGUUCUAGUGCCACAGAAACGCUGUUCACUACUCCUGUAAAUAGGAGGAACCUUAGGUACAACUUGACAAUGGGAGAUAUUUCUAGUUCCCUCAGAAUGUCUGUGAAUAGGGCCCCAGGGGCAAAAACCACCAGAUCAGGUGUUGUACCAGCUGAUCUCUGGUUCUCGGGCUUACAAUCAAUAUAAUGUAACUGGCUGAAGAUGGUUGUUAGAGUCCAGAUAAGAUGUUAUCAGAUCAAAGAUUGUUAUAAAAUUACUUUGGUUAAGAUUGUGACUCCUUUGUCACUGGUAUAGUGACAUCGACAGGUGGAGGUGGAGGUGUCUUUUAGAAAGGUCUUAAGAGACACAGAAGCUGCUUGGAAAUAUUUAUAUGCCUCAGUGUUGAUUUUGUUUUUACAUUAUUAUGGAUGUGAAAUGAACUGUAAUAGUACUUUUGUCUUGCCAAAGGAUGUUUCAUUUCUACGUGUCAAUAUAAUGAGGAAAUCUCUGAUUCAAUGCUGAAGUUUUAUGAUAUAGUUUAUUUUUGAGCUACUGAUGAGAUGUGUUCUCUCACUCUGUUGUCGACAGUCAGACAUUUUACAGUGGAUGAAUGUCUGUUUGUCCAUGUAGGCUUGCACUAGUUUCUUUUACACUGAAACAACAAAGCUGUUUUUUUCUGAAGAACAUUUGUGAGAAAUGAAAUGGUUAGUUGAAGCUAAAGGAAGAGUUCAAUGUUUGUUAUGAUUUUUUGUUUCAUCGAUAUUUAUUUUAUGCAUUCUAAUGCGAUGCCUACAAAUGUAUAGUCACAAUUGUUACAGUUUUGCCAAUUGCUAAAACACAAUUUUGCAAACUAGGCUGGUUUUAUCAAAAUACUUAACACAAUUCACAAAACCACCCAAAAUACCUCAUAUAUCCUGCAAAAUGAAGCACUGCAACCAAAACUACAUAUAGCAUUAUCA
rnacentral:lncRNA from 15 species